rnacentral:rRNA from 1 species
CCUGGUUGAUCCUGCCAGUAGUCAUAUGCUUGUCUCAAAGAUUAAGCCAUGCAUGUCUAAGUACAAGCCGAUUUAAGGCGAAACCGCGAAUGGCUCAUUAAAUCAGCUAUGAUUCAUUGGAUCUGUACCCACACUUACUUGGAUAACUGUGGUAAUUCUAGAGCUAAUACAUACACACCACGUCUCUGACCGCAAGGGAAGAGCGCUUUUAUUAGUUUCAAAACCGGUCGGGCCUCGGUCCGUCACCCCACCGUGUUGAAUCUGAAUAACUUGUCGCUGAGCGCACGGUCUCCGCACCGGCGCCGCCUCUUUCAAGUGUCUGCCUUAUCAGCUUUCGAUUGUAGGUUAUGCGCCUACAAUGGCUAUAACGGGUAACGGGGAAUCAGGGUUCGAUUCCGGAGAGGGAGCCUGAGACGGCUACCACAUCUAAGGAAGGCAGCAGGCACGCAAAUUACCCACUCCCGGCACGGGGAGGUAGUGACGAAAAAUAACGAUGCGAGACUCAUCCGAGGCCUCGCAAUCGGAAUGAGUACACUUUAAAUCCUUUAACGAGGAUCUAUUGGAGGGCAAGUCUGGUGCCAGCAGCCGCGGUAAUUCCAGCUCCAAUAGCGUAUAUUAAAGUUGUUGCGGUUAAAAAGCUCGUAGUUGGAUUUCAGUUCUGGACUGACGGUUCACCGCCCGGUGCAUACUGUCACGCUCCCGAACAGCCACAACAGCCCGCUGGCUCGCACGGGGUGCUCUUCAUCGAGUGUCCCGCGUGGCCGGCAGAGUUUACUUUGAAAAAAUUAGAGUGCUCAAAGCAGGCUACACUUACGGCCUGAAUGCCUAUGCAUGGAAUAAUGGAAUAGGACCUCGGUUCUAUUUUGUCGGUUUUCUGAACCCGAGGUAAUGACUAAUAGGAACAGGCGGGGGCAUUCGUAUUGCGACGCUAGAGGUUGAAAUUCUUGGACCGUCGCCAAGACGACGAACUACUGCGCGAAAGCAUUUGCCAAGGAUGUUUUCCAUUAAUCAAAGAACGAAAGUUAGAGGUUCGAAGGCGAUCAGAUACCGCCCUAGUUCUAAACCAAUAAACGAUGCUGACCAGCGUCCCGCCGGCGUUAUUCCCAUGACCCGGCGGGCAGCUUCCGGGAAACCAAAGUCUUUGGGUUCCGGGGAAAGUAUAUGGUUGCAAAGCUGAAACUUAAAGGAAUGGAAAUGGGCGGCAACCACCAGGAGUGGAAGCCUGGCGGCUUAAUUUGACUCAACACGGGGGAACCCUCACCAGGCCCAGACACCGGAAGGAUUGACAGAUUGAGAGCUCUUUCUCGAUUCGGUGGGUGGUGGUGCAUGGCCGUUCUUAGUUGGUGGAGCGAUUUGUCUGGUUAAUUCCGAUAACGAACGAGACUCUUGGCUGGCCCUACUAACUAGUCGACGGAUCUCCAGCAAUUGGUGUCCAGUUGCGGGCAGCUUCUGUCUUAGAGGGCAGAUAAAAGGGCGGGCAACUUUGCCCGCACGAGAGUUGACAAUAACGAGAGGAUCUGGAGGCCCUGUAGGAGUGUUCUGGAUCCGCACGGCGCGGGCAUAAAACUGAUAAAGGGAUAACGUGUCCUUGCCCACUCCGAGAGGAGCGUAACCGUUAAAUUCCUUUCAUGUAAUAGGGAUUGGGGGUUUGCAAUUAUGUAGAGAUAAGAUGAGGAGCUAAUACGAGCCUCCAUGAACGUAGAAGACAGUAAGAUGUUGUAUUCCCCCUGUCUGAGAAGACGCAAGUCAAUGAGCAUAUGCGUUUGAUUCACGUCCCUUGCCCUUUGUUUAACUACGACCCAGCCCGUCGCUGGCAACAUACUACUGACUCUUGAAUGAUUUAAGUUGCGAG